AGAGAGAGAGGGAGGGAGGGGAAUAACUGCAGGAGGGAAAAAUAAAAGCAAGUAUGGCUGGUUGUAAACAAACCGAUCCCAAAAUAAGUUAGCUUUGCAAGAAGAGGAAAAGGAAAUGAAUCCAGCCGGUGCCUUUAAAUCCACUCCAGAAAAAGCACACCACAAAUUCAUCUGGAUUUUUUUUCUUUUUUUCUUUUUAAAGCUUGUUUGCUCCCACCUACCUUCUCCACCCAGCCCGGAUGCUCAUCUGCACUUAGCAAGCUCCUGCCCAACGCGGAUUGGCCAUUUUCACAAUUAAAUGCCCCUGCCCAGCUGAAAGUCAGGAUUCAAGAAGAAACUGGUAGGAAUAGGUAUAGAAAGCUCGGAAAAAGAAGGGACACGUGUUUGUGGGAGCUGGGGAGAGGAGAAGGGGGCUGUUUUGUACCAACCUGUGCAGGGAGGUGAAAAAGCCUCUCCAGCCUGGACGUUUCCGCUGCAUUCUCCAAAAACCUGAGAAUAAAAAAGGAACAAAGCAAAACAAAUCUGGGGGUGUUUCUCUCCAAUAAUAAAACAGGGAAGGACUCGCGGCCCUCACCCCCUUCCUUCACGCCCUUACAUGGCUGAGCAGCUUCUUUUACACAACAUGCAACAACGAAGCUUUCAAACUCCUGUCAUAAUUGACUCAGACGCAAGGGCCUUGUGCUCCCAAGAGCUCCUGUCCUUGCCAAGGCUGAAGGCCAAAGUCAAAGGAGACAUACAGAAGAAAACACCUUCCCAGAUGGGGAGCAGAUGAGGAAGAUACUGGAGGAGACCAGAAUUUCUGUCCUGGCCAGGAGUUGCACUAGGCAACAUCAUCAGUGCUAAUGUUGAUGAUAGCCCUGAAAAUGGAACCAGGACCCCAUAGCUGCUCUAUUCAAAUGGCUCAUUUAAUAUCUAAACUUCAAGAGAGUUUAAAGGGAGAUGCUUACAGCUUCAGCCACCGUGGCCUGUUUGGCUCUUCUCUGCUGCAGAAGUUCCUUCACGGUCAUCUUCACUCGAACGCCUUGGUAGACCUUCGCCUUCCCUGAAAGGAGAGAGCAAAAAAUGCCCCUUCGCAGACCCAGGACACUCGGAAGGGCCCUGGCCGGGCUGGGGUUUCAGCAGUGACUGGAAUUCUCUGCCUUCUCCUAAGGGCAACAUGUAAAGCAUUGAAACAGCCAGCUGUGGCUUUUUUCAAGCCAAGAAGUGACAGCUUAGUAUGGUGUGUGAAGACAACAGCUUUGACAUCUUCUGACUUUGAUCCAAUGUUUAAUAAACCACAGUUUAUUAAAUAAACCACACUUGGCAAGGUUUACCCAUUAUAUUAAACCGGUGUUUUUCAAACUU